ACGGAGGGUGCGAGCGUUAAUCGGAAUUACUGGGCGUAAAGCGCACGCAGGCGGCUUGUUAAGCUAGAGGUGAAAGCCCCGCGCUCAACGUGGGAACUGCCUUUAGAACUGGCAGGCUAGAGUCUUGGAGAGGGGAGUGGAAUUCCAGGUGUAGCGGUGAAAUGCGUAGAUAUCUGGAGGAACAUCAGUGGCGAAGGCGGCUCCUGCGAACAACUGCA
rnacentral:rRNA from 1 species